GGGCUCGUAGCUCAGUUGGUUAGAGCGUGCGCCUGAUAAGCGCAAGGUCGGAAGUUCGAAUCUUCCCGGGCCCA
rfam:Planctomycetes bacterium GWC2_45_44 gwc2_scaffold_4016, whole genome shotgun sequence.